rnacentral:rRNA from 1 species
UACGGAGGGUGCAAGCAUUGAUCGGAAUUACUGGGCGUAAAGGGCGCGUAGGUGGUUCAUUAAGUCAGAUGUGAAAUUCCGGGGCUCAACCCCGGAGCUGCAUCUGAAACUGACGAACUAGAGUUCAGUUAGGGAAAACGGAAUUCCACGUGUAGCGGUGAAAUGCGUAGAUAUGUGGAAGAACACCGGUGGUGAAGACGGUUUUCUAGGCUGAUACUGACACUGAGGCGCGAAAGCUAGGGGAGCAAACAGG